GAGGCUGAUGGGACGCUGGAGCCUGGGCGGUUGCUAGAGUCGGUACCAUGGCGACGCGCAGUGGGGUUGGGGUGGCAAUGGCAGCUCGGUCCCUUUUAUCUGCCCGAGCUGUGAUUGCGUUCCUCCUGUUGUUACUCCCUCGCGUCUUACAGGCCCAGACCUUCUCUUUCCCUUUCCAGCAGCCGGAAAACUGCGAUAACAACCAGUACUUUGAUAUCUCCGCGCUCUCCUGUGUUCCGUGUGGAGCUAACCAGAGGCAGGAUGCCCGAGGAACUUCAUGUGUAUGUCUACCAGGAUUUCAGAUGAUCUCUAAUAAUGGAGGACCUGUUAUUAUUUGUAAAAAGUGCCCAGAAAACAUGAAAGGUGUUACUGAGGAUGGCUGGGACUGCAUUUCUUGCCCUAGUGGCUUAACUGCAGAAGGAAAAUGUCACUGUCCCACUGGUCAUAUUUUAGUGGAAAGAGACGUUAAUGGAACAUUGUUGUCUCAAGCAACUUGUGAGCUCUGUGAUGGAAAUGAAAGCUCUUUUACGGUAGCAAAUGCUUUACAAGACAGGUGCAUCCGAUGUGAGCCAACGUUUGUCAAUACCAGCAGGUCCUGUGCAUGUUCAGAACCUAACAUUUUAACAGGAGGAUUAUGUUUCAGCAGCACAGGGAGUUUUCCUUUACGUAGAAUUUCAACUACACGUUAUGGAGAGAUUGGCAUGUAUUUAACUUCAGAAUGGUUUGCAAAGUAUUUGCAAUCAUCGGCAGCUGCAUGUUGGGUAUAUGCCAAUCUAACAUCUUGUCAAGCUCUUGGAAAUAUGUGUGUGAUGAACAUGAAUUCUUACAACUCUGCCACAUUUGAUGCGUGUCGACUAUUUCAGUUUAUCUUUGAAAAUGCUGCUGGACUGAGCGCUAUUCAUUCUAUUUCAUUUUGGAGACAGAAUCUUCCUUGGCUGUUUUAUGGAGACCAGUUAGGAUUAGCACCUCAAGUGCUCAGUACUACUUCUCUUCCUACAAAUUUCAGUUUCAAAGGAGAAAACCAGAAUACAAAACUGAAGUUUGUUGCUGCUUCCUAUGAUAUAAGAGGAAAUUUUCUCAAGUGGCAAACUUUAGAAGGAGGUGUUUUACAGCUUUGUCCAGACACAGAGACAAGGCUCAAUGCUGCUUAUUCAUUUGGAACAACCUACCAACAAAAUUGUGAGAUUCCUAUCUCUAAGAUCUUGACUGACUUUCCCACUCCUAUAUUUUAUGAUGUGUACCUUGAAUAUGCUGAUGAAAAUCAACAUCAAUAUAUUUUGGCUGUGCCUGUGUUAAACCUAAAUCUUCAGCACAAUAAGAUGUUUGUGAACCAAGACAGCAACCCUGGCAAGUGGCUUCUAACUCGGCGCAUUUUCUUAGUGGAUGCAGUAAGUGGACGAGAAAAUGACUUAGGAAGUCAGCCAAGAGUAAUUCGAGUUGCUACCCAAAUAUCACUGAGCAUCCGCCUUGUACCCAACACAAUAAAUGGAAAUAUCUACCCUCCCUUAAUCACCAUUGCCUAUAGUGACAUUGAUAUCAAAGAUGCCAACAGCCAGUCUGUAAAGGUUUCUUUCUCAGUCACAUAUGAAAUGGAUCAUGGAGAAGCACAUAUCCAGACAGAUAUUGCUUUGGGUGUGUUGGGUGGGCUAGCUGUUUUAGCAUCUCUUUUGAAGACAGCAGGAUGGAAGAGGCGCAUUGGGAGUCCCAUGAUUGAUUUACAGACAGUUAUGAAAUUCUUGGUGUACUAUGCUGGCGAUCUGGCCAAUGUUUUCUUUAUCAUCACAGUGGGAACAGGUCUUUAUUGGCUUAUUUUCUUCAAAGCACAGAAGUCUGUCUCUGUUUUGCUCCCAAUGCCAGUUCAGGAAGAACGUUUUGUCACUUAUGUUGGAUGUGCCUUUGCUCUGAAGGCACUACAAUUUUUGCAUAAGCUUAUAUCCCAGAUUACAAUAGAUAUAUUCUUUAUUGAUUGGGAGCGACCUAAAGGAAAGGUUCUUAAAGCUGUUGAAGGUGAGGGUGGUGUACGAAGUGCCACUGUUCCUGUAAGCAUAUGGAGAACAUAUUUUGUAGCAAAUGAAUGGAAUGAAAUUCAGACUGUGAGAAAAAUUAAUUCGGUCUUUCAAGUAUUUAUUGUCCUCUUCUUUUUGGAGGUUGUGGGAUUCAAGAACUUAGCAUUAAUGGACUCAUCUUCUAGUCUUUCUAGAAGCCCACCUAGCUAUAUAGCUCCUUACAGCCGCAUUUUGAGAUAUGCAGUGUCUGCUGCUCUUUGGCUAGCCAUUGGAAUUAUACAGAUCGUGUUCUUUGCUGUCUUUUAUGAGAGAUUUAUAGAAGAUAAAAUUCGACAGUUCGUUGAUUUAUGCUCUAUGAGUAAUAUAUCAGUGUUUCUGUUAUCCCACAAAUGUUUUGGAUAUUACAUUCACGGUAGAUCAGUACAUGGGCAUGCAGAUACUAAUAUGGAAGAAAUGAAUAUGAACCUUAAAAGAGAAGCGGAAAAUUUGUGUAGCCAGAGAGGUUUGGUACCUAACACAGAUGGUCAGACUUUUCAGAUUGCAAUUUCUAACCAGAUGAGACAACACUAUGACAAAAUUCAUGAGACUCUAAUACGGAAAAAUGGCCCUGCUAGACUAUUGAGUUCAUCAGCAAGUACUUUGGAGCAGAGUAUAAAAGCAUAUCAUAUGAUGAAUAAAUUUCUUGGCUCCUUCAUUGAUCAUGUUCAUAAGGAAAUGGAUUACUUUAUAAAAGAUAAGUUACUUCUUGAAAGAAUUCUUGGAAUGGAAUUCAUGGAACCAAUGGAAAAAAGCAUCUUUUACAAUGAUGAAGGUUAUUCUUUCAGCAGUGUCCUGUAUUAUGGAAAUGAAGCUACCCUUCUUAUUUUUGAUUUGCUGUUCUUCUGUGUGGUGGAUUUGGCUUGCCAAAAUUUUAUUUUAGCAGCCUUCCUUACAUAUCUACAACAAGAGAUUUUUAGAUAUAUCUGUAAUACAGUAGGACAAAAGAAUUUGGCAUCCAAAACAUUGGUGGAUCAAAGAUUUUUGAUUUAACUUCCUGAAUAAAUAACUUAAAGACUCAAUAUAAUCAUGGCCAAAAGAAAUUGUCAUGAUAUCAGACAGGAAGACCUGAAGCCUUUGCAGUUUGUAUUUGACCAAAACCCUGGCUGACAGCAGGUGGCAGUGGAGCGCACAGUAAGCUUUUCAGGACCGGGCUGGGGCUCUUCUGACUAUAGCUCAAAGGCAUGGUGAUGCCUGUUUGGAGGCAUGGCCAAAUGUCAUCAGCGUAAACUUUACAGUCUUUGGACCUGGGUUCGAAGAACAGUUCUAUAACUUGGUGAGAUUUCUUGUUCAAGGUAAUCUUAGGCAUCAUUUUCCUGUUCUGAAUUAAGAAUAAUAACAAUGUCUUUUUGCUGGAAUGUUGUGAGACUUAAAUAUGACAAUGUACAUGGAAGCAUCGGUUGACUACAAAGCUAAACGUAAAUAUUAACUGUUAGGCAUUCUACUGUAUUUUAGAUAAACCAUCAAGGCAGCCACGAAGCAGAGUGACUUGAGAGCCAUCUGGAGACUAUUUUAAUGAUCCAGAUGAAGGAUGAUGACAAGGGCCUAUGCCAAGGCAGUGGCAGUGAGGAUGGAGAGAAAGGACAUAUUUAUAGGAUAUUUAGGUCACUUUACAAAACAGAACCGAAUGACAGAUUGGAUACAGUGAGGGAGAGGAAAGGGGGUCAGAAUGAUUCAGAAUUUUAUGUUGAGUAAUCGAGUGGAUGGUGAUGUUAUUAAUUACUCAUCGCGAAAGAAGAGUAGGCAGAAUAAUAUGUUCUAUUUCAGGAAUAUUGUGACGAGGUGUGUAUGAGACAUCCAGUAAGCAGAGAUGUGAAAUAUGAGUGGGACUAUGGGGGCGAGGGGGGGCUCAGAAAAGAGAUGUGCCAUAGAUUCAGAUUUGGACCCCACUGGGAUUUGUGAGACUAAAACUCUGAGAAUAGAGGUCAUGUCCAGGUAAGACAUAAGGCAAUGGUUUGUACCCCUUUAAAGCCAAGGAAACUUUCCACUCACACACACAAAAAAGAAAUGUUUACGCUAAAACCCAGUUUGCAAAACAACUCAAAAUGAAGCUUUUCUGGUUAUAUCCAGAGUGAGUUUCCUGGAGCCAACUUCUUGAGACAGCCUCUGAACACGUUUCACUGAGCCCAGUUUGAGAACCACCUACAUGGAGAAGAGAAGUGUGUGAGUUAACCACUAAAUGGAGUCUGAAAGAAAGCAGCUUAUGCAAAAUCAGACUGGAAUUUUAGUUUUAGAUUUUUUGUGAAAAGCUUUUUUGAAACUUUAAUGAUGUUCGAAGCUUCACCCAGUUAUUUGCAGUACUAAUACUCAUUCUGGCCUGCUCUUACAGAUCUGUGACUUUAUUUCAAUGUCUGUGUGUGUCCACCAGAAGCCGCAGGGCCAUUCAAAUAAAGAAAGUUGGCUGAGUUUCCAAGUCUCUCUUUCCAAGGUCAUGCACGUUGGUUUUCCUCUUUAUCAGCAGAGGCUUAUCUUAUAUACAUCUGCUGGGUCAUUCGUGCUAAGAUCAUCAUGUUUGUCCCAAUUACCAUGAUUCUUACGUGAUCUCUAAACUAGAUAAAUGCUCAUCCACUCAAGCAGUUGUUUAAUAAAAGUAAUCUUAAAUAUUUAACUUGUAAACUUUUUAAAAAGUCGAAUUGUCCUUUUGAUUUGGGUAGCCAAAGACAAACAAAAAGAUUAAAAAAAAAAAAGAAAUUAAAAAAAAGAAAAAAAAAAGUCCAAUUGGUGAAACCUUUUCUCUAAAUUAAAUUAAUCGAGUCUGCUUAUUAUUUCAACACAGUCGAGGGUUUAAUUUUAAAUCCACUAAGGGCAUUUUGACUUGGUUAUUAAAUCAGAAAGACCUAAUCAUAUGAUAAAGAAAGAUAACAGGAGCAAGAAAAAGAGGGGAGCAGAGGGGGGUCAAAAGAGAGAAGCAAGGACAUCGCGUGAUGUAUUAUAUUAAGAGCUACUUUAAAAACAAAAACAAUAGCACUCUAACAUAUCAGGGAUCUAAACAAUAAAAAUUUAUUUCUCAAAGU